rnacentral:rRNA from 1 species
GUACACUCCUACGGGAGGCAGCAGUGGGGAAUAUUGGACAAUGGGCGCAAGCCUGAUCCAGCCAUGCCGCGUGAGUGAUGAAGGCCCUAGGGUUGUAAAGCUCUUUCACCGGAGAAGAUAAUGACGGUAUCCGGAGAAGAAGCCCCGGCUAACUUCGUGCCAGCAGCCGCGGUAAUACGAAGGGGGCUAGCGUUGUUCGGAAUUACUGGGCGUAAAGCGCACGUAGGCGGAUCGAUCAGUCAGGGGUGAAAUCCCAGGGCUCAACCCUGGAACUGCCUUUGAUACUGUCGAUCUGGAGUAUGGAAGAGGUGAGUGGAAUUCCGAGUGUAGAGGUGAAAUUCGUAGAUAUUCGGAGGAACACCAGUGGCGAAGGCGGCUCACUGGUCCAUUACUGACGCUGAGGUGCGAAAGCGUGGGGAGCAAACAGGAUUAGAUACCCCUGUAGUCCCAU